rnacentral:ncRNA from 1 species
CUGAUAAGGGCAAACCAAUCGAAAGGUUGGGACGCAAAACCUCCGGUCUAAGGGCAUCUGCCUACCGAUAGCGGGGUUGCCG